rnacentral:rRNA from 1 species
CCUACGGGAGGCAGCAGUGGGGAAUAUUGGGCAAUGGGCGCAAGCCUGACCCAGCAACGCCGCGUGAAGGAAGAAGGCUUUCGGGUUGUAAACCUCUUUUUUCGGGGCGGAAGCAAGUGACGGUACCUGACGAAUACGCCACGGCUAACUACGUGCAAGCAGCCGCGGUAAUCCGUAGGUGGCAAGCGUUAUCCGGAUUUACUGGGUGUAAAGGGCGUGUAGGCGGGACUGCAAGUCAGAUGUGAAAACCACGGGCUCAACCUGUGGCCUGCAUUUGAAACUGUAGUGCUUGAGUACUGGAGAGGCAGACGGAAUUCCUAGUGGAGCGGUGAAAUGCGUAGAUAUUAGGAGGAACACCAGUGGCGAAGGCGGUCUGCUGGACAGCAACUGACGCUGAGGCGCGAAAGCGUGGGGAGCAAACAGGAUUAGAUACCCUUGUAGUC